rnacentral:rRNA from 1 species
CCUACGGGGGGCAGCAGUAGGGAAUAUUGCUCAAUGGGGGAAACCCUGAAGCAGCAACGCCGCGUGGAGGAUGAAGGUUUUCGGAUUGUAAACUCCUUUUGUUAGAGAAGAUAAUGACGGUAUCUAACGAAUAAGCACCGGCUAACUCCGUGCCAGCAGCCGCGGUAAUACGGAGGGUGCCAGCGUUACUCGGAAUCACUGGGCGUAAAGAGCGCGGAGGCGGGAGAGCAAGUCAGAUGUGAAAUCCUAUGGCUUAACCAUAGAACUGCAUUUGAAACUGGGAGUCUAGAGUAUGGGAGAGGUAGGUGGAAUUCUUGGUGUAGGGGUGAAAUGCGUAGAGAUCAAGAGGAAUACUCAUUGCGAAGGCGACCUGCUAGAACAUAACUGACGCUGAUGCGCGAAAGCGUGGGGAGCAAACAGGAUUAGAUACCCUAGUAGUC